UACGGGGGGAGCAAGCGUUGUUCGGAUUUACUGGGCGUAAAGGGCGCGUAGGCGGCCUGCUAAGUCGGAUGUGAAAUCCCUCGGCUCAACCGAGGAACUGCAUCCGAUACUGGCGGGCUUGAAUCCGGGAGAGGGAUGUGGAAUUCCAGGUGUAGCGGUGAAAUGCGUAGAUAUCUGGAGGAACACCGGUGGCGAAGGCGGCAUCCUGGACCGGUAUUGGACGCGUGAGGCGACGAAAGGCUAGGG
rnacentral:rRNA from 1 species